UGUUGUUUAUGUCCAUGACCAAACUCCUCUGCCAAAACCUUCCCUUCGUGAAAAUUCAUGAAAAACUCAUUUUCUCCUGAACGCUCCUCAGUGAAAAACCUAGGCUCCAAAACUCAUGUUCGCAAACAAAAACCCAAAGAUUCAUCUCUUCUCCGCCACUACCAAGGGCUGGCGGCCUCCUCCACUUCAUCACCACCGACCUCCCUCAUUCUCUUCCUCUACCCGAUUGGGAGAGGACAAGCUUCCUCUUCCACCUCCAUCUCAUCCACAUCCGACGCUAAUGCACACAAUAGGAGCUUCAUCCUAGAAUCCGCUAGCCAUCUCAUCUCCUCUACCAUCUUCCUCAUCGCUGACGAAAAGGUCUUCUCACAGAGCUUCCGGAUCUGAAAGCCAUCUCAUAGUGCCUUCUUCCUCAGCCCAUAGCCUUCUCCCAUUUGGGAGAGGCACCAUCGCCGAACUCUACAUCACCCUCUCCUGAUUGGUAGAGCUUUCUUCGCCACCACUGGUUUCCUUCCACCUCUCCAUUUCGGAUUUGAAGAGUAAAGCUUCAUCACUAGCCGGAGCCGUUUCCUCUUCAGAUUCGAAGAGGAGAGUUCAUCCAUCCUUUCGACAACCUCUUUCUCUUCAGAUUUGAAGAGAAGAGUUCGUUCUCCAUCGACGAGCAGCCAUCCACUUCAUCCAUAGCCUUCGUCGACAGAUUGGCCAUCGGAGAAGCUCCAUCCAACAACCCCCUCUCCACUUCAGAUUCGAAGAGGAGAGCUAUAUUUCGAUCCGUGUCUACCACAUUGGGUUAUUUCUAUCUAUGUUGGAUUAUGUUAUGCUUGUUGAUUGUUGGAUUAUACGCAGCUAUUCUCCCAUGUUUAGAAUUGCAUGUAUUUUGCUUAAUUGAAUUCUCGCUCGUUUUGUGUUUGAUGAAAUGCCUCUUUCAUUAGUUAGUUUCUAAACUUGCAUCUUCUUUGGUUUGAAUUCUUGUGAUGGUUAGUUAGUUGAAUGUUUUAGGUUAGAUUAGUUGAAUUUUGACAAAUUUAUUCAUGUGGAAGCUUAUUUCUAAUAUUUUCUAAAUUUUUGCGACUCAAAUUUAUUCAACUUGUCUAUUACCUUGCCUAGACUCAAAUUGCCUUGAAUGGAGUUCAAUUAGGUGGGUUAGGAUUCAUGUACCAAACACCAAAUACCUGGAAUUAGCUUGUCUUGUUGUGAUUUUGGAUAUCUCCACUAUUAAUUUCAUAAUUUUCAAGCAUGUAGUUAUGUAUAGCUUUUUUAUUUUUUUUAUUGUUGUUAAACCUAAUAUAUCUAGCAUGAUGCUUUUCCAUAGAAUGACAAGGCCUGUGGGGAGAAAUGGAAAACAAUGUCAUUUGAGGUUAGAUCUUUCAUCUUUUUAUACACCAAUGCAUAUGAUUUAGUUUUGUUUGGUAUAAGAAAAAUGCUAUAAUACAUAUAGACAUCUAAUUGCAAACAUGAAUGAUUCAAGGCAACUAAGAUUAUGAAAGAGAUAGAAGGGUAUUGUUAUUGUAUGAGAUUGGUGACAGAGACAAGGCCAUUGCUGAGAUGGAGGAUGUUUCCAUUUCUCUAAAGGGAUACCCAGGUACUUCUUCAAGAUUAAUUCUAUGCUUCAUAUAAUACAUCUUUUACAAGUUUUUAUAAGAGGUAUCUUUCAUCCCGCAGAGAUACAUGCAGCUCUAGCUGCAUCAUUGUAUGCUAACAAGCAUGCUGCACUCCUUGCUGAGAACCAGUUUACAAUUGCCACUCUUUAGAUCCUCAUUAUACUAAUCUUUCAAUGUCAGGGAAACUAAGCAUUGACCUCCAAUCUUGAUCAAUUCCUUGUAGCAUUUCAUCACAAUUUCCUAACAAGCUUCAAUAUCUUGCUUGGUUGAUAAAUGGUGAUGCAUUAAGUCUUUUUCAAUGCAGAUGUUAAUUUGGCCAGAAACAAAUUUUGUGUGCCACUUCUAAAGGACAUCAUAUCACAAGUAAAUUCUAAAGGAUACAUAUGAUAAACUUGUUUAAGUUGAUUACAUAUGAUUUUUCUUCUUCAUUGCAAGCAACUUUUAUGUGAGAUAUAAAUUUUUAGAAUCAUAUCUCUCUCUCUCUCUCUCUCUCUAUAUAUAUAUAUAUAUAUAUUACUUCAGUCUGCAUUGCUGAUAACACACAUGCUAAACAUACAAUUUUUACUUUAAGCCUCAUCUCAAGCGCAACGAGAAAGCCACAUAUAAUCAGAGCUAAGUGAUGUUCAAAAUUGCUUGCAUGAUGCUCUUUGAGGAGACAUUGAUAAGCGAAGAGGAGGAAGAAGCACUACUUGAUUAUAAUAUGGAGGAUUAAGAUGCAGAAUAUAGAAAAAUGAAAGUCCAUAGUUGCAUAUAUCAAGAGAGAGGUUCAUCAUCAUUUAUCUCCAGUUUCUUAGAAAAUUGCAUGGGCCUAAUAACCUUUCUUUUUUGUUAAAAUUUGCUUGAAAAUGGAGAGUUCUCUAAUGAAUCUAAUGACUUUGAGUGAUUGGUAAGGAUGUUGGAUAUGUAUUUGCGAGAAAAAAGAGUUCUCUAAUGAAUCCAAACUUACGUGUUGCUUAAGUAUUUUUACCUUAAGCUUUUUGAUCUUUCACCAAUCUAUGUUUGUUUUCUUUGAUACACAGGUUUGUUCUGCCUUUGUGCAACUUAUAGAAGUUUGACCAUCAUUCCUAGAGUGCCUUUAGAUAUUUUGAAGGUGAAUGGAGGUAGAAACUCCAGCUAAAUAGCUCGGGUAUGGAUGAUUACAAGAGCAACAACUACAUGAUAUGUGGCAUUGCAUCUGAACCUUAGGGGUGUGAUUGGAAAGUACUUCAACGAAAAACUAUCAAAAAGGCUUUGGGAUUUAAGUGAGAAGAUGGUUAAAAUUAAUGAGUAAAGAACAUUCAAGUCAAGAGAAUAAGUAGCAUCUAUCAAGAUCCUUUAAGUACAUGUAAUCAGAUGUACUCGAUAGGAGUAGUUUUGAGUGUCCUAAUUAAAAUUUCUUUGUAUGCAAGUAAUUAUAUUUGUUAUAGAAGUGUAAGGAUGAUAAUUUGUAUAUUUAUCUUGGUUGUGUAUUUAAUAACAUGUCAUUGAUUGAA